rnacentral:rRNA from 1 species
AGCGAACGCUGGCGGCAGGCCUAACACAUGCAAGUCGAACGAACUCUUCGGAGUUAGUGGCGGACGGGUGAGUAACGCGUGGGAACGUGCCUUUAGGUUCGGAAUAACUCAGGGAAACUUGUGCUAAUACCGAAUGUGCCCUUCGGGGGAAAGAUUUAUCGCCUUUAGAGCGGCCCGCGCCUGAUUAGCUAGUUGGUGAGGUAAUGGCUCACCAAGGCGACGAUCAGUAGCUGGUCUGAGAGGAUGAUCAGCCACAUUGGGACUGAGACACGGCCCAAACUCCUACGGGAGGCAGCAGGAGGGAAGCUUGCGCAAUGGGCGAAAGCCUGACGCAGCCAUGCCGCGUGAAUGAUGAAGGUCUUAGGAUUGUAAAAUUCUUUCACCGGGGACGAUAAUGACGGUACCCGGAGAAGAAGCCCCGGCUAACUUCGUGCCAGCCGCCGCGGUAA